UCCGGAUUUAUUGGGCGUAAAGGGCUCGUAGGCGGCUCGUCGCGUCCGGUGUGAAAGUCCAUCGCUUAACGGUGGAUCUGCGCCGGGUACGGGCGGGCUGGAGUGCGGUAGGGGAGACUGGAAUUCCCGGUGUAACGGUGGAAUGUGUAGAUAUCGGGAAGAACACCGAUGGCGAAGGCAGGUCUCUGGGCCGUCACUGACGCUGAGGAGCGAAAGCGUGGGGAGCGAACAGGAUUAGAUACCCUGGUAGUCCACGCCGUAAACGGUGGACGCUGGAUGUGGGGCACGUUCCACGUGUUCCGUGUCGGAGCUAACGCGUUAAGCGUCCCGCCUGGGGAGUACGGCCGCAAGGCUAAAACUCAAAGAAAUUGACGGGGGCCCGCACAAGCGGCGGAGCAUGCGGAUUAAUUCGAUGCAACGCGAAGAACCUUACCUGGGCUUGACAUGUUCCCGACGACGCCAGAGAUGGCGUUUCCCUUCGGGGCGGGUUCACAGGUGGUGCAUGGUCGUCGUCAGCUCGUGUCGUGAGAUGUUGGGUUAAGUCCCGCAACGAGCGCAACCCUCGCCCCGUGUUGCCACCACGUUAUGGUGGGAACUCACGGGGGACCGCCGGGGGUUAACUCGGAAGGAAGGUGGGGA
rnacentral:rRNA from 1 species